AGUGAACGCUGGCGGUAGGCCUAACACAUGCAAGUCGAACGGCAGCACAGUAAGAGCUUGCUCUUACGGGUGGCGAGUGGCGGACGGGUGAGGAAUACAUCGGAAUCUACUUUUUCGUGAGGGAUAACGUAGGGAAACUUACGCUAAUACCGCAUACGACCUACGGGUGAAAGCAGGGGAUCUUCGGACCUUGCGCGAUUGAAUGAGCCGAUGUCGGAUUAGCUAGUUGGCGGGGUAAAGGCCCACCAAGGCGACGAUCCGUAGCUGGUCUGAGAGGAUGAUCAGCCACACUGGAACUGAGACACGGUCCAGACUCCUACGGGAGGCAGCAGUGGGGAAUAUUGGACAAUGGGCGCAAGCCUGAUCCAGCCAUACCGCGUGGGUGAAGAAGGCCUUCGGGUUGUAAAGCCCUUUUGUUGGGAAAGAAAAGCAGCAGGUUAAUACCCCGCUGUUCUGACGGUACCGAAAGAAUAAGCACCGGCUAACUUCGUG
rnacentral:rRNA from 1 species